rnacentral:rRNA from 1 species
ACAUGCGUGAGACCUGCAAAGGUCGUAUUUAUUAGUUUCAAACCAAUACAGAAAUGUAUUGUGAGGAAUCAAGAUAACUGAUCGGAGCUGAUUUAUCAGCUGAAUCAUUCAAGCUUCUGACCUAUCAGCUUGAUGUUAGUGUAUUGGACUAACAUGGCAGUAACAGGUAACAGAGAAUUGGGGUUCGAUUCUGGAGAAUCAGCCUGAGAGACGGCUGAUAUUUCUACGGAAGGCAGCAGGCGUGAAAAUUACCCAAUCACAAUUCGUGGAGGUAGUUAAUAGACAUAACAUUCUCGGCCCAUCGGGUUCUGAGAGAGUAAUGAAUUCAAUUUAAAACAUUGAACGAAAUCCAUUGGAGGGCAAGUCUGGUGCCAGCAGCCGCGGUAAUUCCAGCUCCAAUAGCUUUGUUGAAAGUUGCUGCAGUUAAAAAGCUCGUAGUUGAAUAUCCGGCGUCUCUGACGUCUGCCUGAUACGACUUUCGAUACUGAAAGGUUUUGUCUGUUCGUUUGGGCGUUUACUGUGAACAAAUUAGAGUGCUCAAAACAGGCUUUUGCUUGGAUUUUUUAGCAUGGAAUAAUAGAAUACGACUUCGGUCAUUUUAUUGGUUAUUGAACGGAGUAAUGGUUAACAGGAACAGUUGGGGGCAUUCGUACUUAAAAGUCAGAGGUGAAAUUCUUAGAUUUUUUAAAGACGAACUAAUGCGAAGGCAUUUGCCAAGGAUGUUUUCAUUAAUCAAGAACGAAAGCGUUGGGAUCAAAAAGGAUUAGAUACCCUUGUAGUCAACGCCGUAAACGAUACUGACUAGGGAUUGGUGAGGUAAACCCUCAUCAGCACCUAAUGAGAGAUCAAAGUCUUUGAGUUCUGGGGAGAGUAUGGUCGCAAGGCUGAAACUUAAAGGAAUUGACGGAAAAAUACACAAGUCGUGGAUUCUACGGCUUAAUUUGAUUUAACACGGGAAAACUUACGCAGGCAAAAAGUUAAAAGGAUUGACAGCUUGAUAGCACUUUCUUGAUUUGGCAGCGAGUGGUGCAUGGCCGUUCUUAGUUGGUGGAGUGAUUUGUCAGGUUAAUUCCCUAAACGAACGAGAUCUUCACUUGCUAACUAGUCGCUGUUAAAACCUAGCAGUUGACUUCUUAGAAGGACUACGGUCCCAAAACCGUGGAAGUUGGAGGCAAUAACAGGUCCGUGAUGCCCUCAGAUGUUUGCGGCCGCACGUGUAAUACUUUUUUGAAUACAAUAAGUUCACCUAAUCCGAGAGGAGCUGGGUAAUCUUUAUAAUAUUCAAAG